rnacentral:lncRNA from 1 species
GAGGGGACAGGAGUGCGGGCCGCUUCCCGUCUGGAGAGCUCGUUUCGGCAUAGGGUCUUGUUCCUGCUUUGCCUGCUGAAAUCUGUGCUGCUUGGGACCCCUGGCCAAGAGAAAGGGCACCCCGAGCUUCCCAGGCUCCUUCCCAGUUUUAACCUUUUCUCCUGCCGCUUUGUGGUGCUGACAGGGCAUGGGCUUUGGCUGUCACAGCUGCAUGGGGGGGGCUGCCCCUUUCCUCGAUGGGCAGCCUUGCCACCUGCUUCGUCUCGGAAGGGCCAAUGGUGGUGGCACCAGGGGCCUCAUCAAGGGAAGGUNCCCCGGACAAAGCUGCUUUGUGUUAGGAGGCGCCUGUCCUGCUUACUAACCUGUGCUUUCUUGCCUGCUGCUCAGCUCAGCGACAGUCUGUUCCAGGAGGAACCCCUGCCCUACCUCGUCCACCAGCCUUUACCCUGGCAGGUCCAGUGUGUGACCCAGAACCACCGUGCCAGUCGAGAUGCUGGGAAAGGUGGGAGUCCCCGACACAGCGGGCGAAGAGGUGACACCAGCUCUGUAGCCAGCAGCAAGAGUGAGGAGUUGGGGGAUCCACCUGAGCAGGCAGCUGUGACCACCCAGACGUACAAUCAAAAAUGCCAUCAGCACUUAAGGCAUGAGAAAUAGAGGGCGACUCCACUUUUCUUGCAGCCCCACAAAUCAAAUUAAGGGGUGUGUGGCUUCUGGAGUGGGGGAGUUAAGUGCAGAAGGAGUAAACAAGCUUGUGACUCUGUUCUUCUACUAUGUUGCAUUCCCAUGACUUUUCGCAGUCCUCCUGUCUUGAUGGGUUACUAACGUUUCUCUGCUUUCUGCAACCUCUAAAGGAGCAAUAAGCAACUCUGGCUACUUAGUGAGCACUUUGGUGGCCACAAGAUAGGCUUUUUAGCACUAGUUGACUGUUAGAAGGAAGGCAGGCAUUUGUGGCCAGAUGUGUCUUAGGUAGGACUUCUAAUGCAGCUUAACAGCAUUGUUACAUACCUGGGAAGCACACUGAUAGAAGAGGAAUCUGAAUGUUUAGCCUCCUUCAGGGUAUUUGCAAGGAAGAAUGGGCAGGAGCAGUCCCCAUUCUUUUGUAGAAACUUAGCUUGGGAAAAUAGCUCGUACUGAUGCUAUGAGAUGUGCUACCAUGUGCCCUAUUCAGCUUUUCUUCUAGUAAGCAGAAGUAGCUUCAUACAGCUGGCUGCCUGACGGCCAUCUCGUAACUGCACUCGCUCGCUCGGCCUUUUUUUGUUUUUAAAAGCAGUAGCAGUCAUUUGCUCCCCCGUUACACCUAUGGUUAGAGCUGGUUCAGCUUGCAGAAGAUAGACAGGAGCAGCCUGCUGCCACUUGUUCCUCACAACCUACAUUUUACUUUCUCAUCUUAAAAGGAAAAUGGCACUUGAACAGAUUGCGUUAAAGUUCUGUUUUUAAAAAGCAGCUGCUUAUAUGUGGGUCACUGCAAAACUCACCUUCAUUCACGCCUCUCAGCUUUGAGACUAGGAAAGUGGCAUCUAAGAGUUAUGGGAUCAUAGCUCUGCCAGUCUCUAGGAGAGGGUGGUAAACCCCAUUCUUAAAGAUGGGAGCUGUAGCUGGACUCCUCUUCCCCCCCCCAAUAGAACAGCUGUUCCAUAGGCAGCAUUGGCAGAGU